UGCUUUCCAUGCAGUCGUACGAGGUGUUAAAACUUUAGUGGCGGACGGGUGAGUAACACGUGAGAAUUUACCUUUAGGAGGGGAAUAACAGUUGGAAACGACUGCUAAUGCCGCAUAUCAUAAUUUAUGAAAGAAGAAAUUCGCCUAAAGAAAAGCUUGCGUCUGAUUAGCUAGUUGGUAAGGGUAAAGGCCUACCAAGGCGACGAUCAGUAGCUGGUUUGAGAGGACGACCAGUCACACUGGAACUGAGACACGGUCCAGACUCCUACGGGAGGCAGCAGUGGGGUAUUUUCUGCAAUGGGCGAAAGCCUGACAGAGCAAUACCGCGUGAGGGAAGAAAGCCCACAGGGUUGUAAACCUCUUUUGUCAAGGAAGAAGUUCUGACGUUACUUGACGAAUAAGCAUCGGCUAACUCCGUGCCAGCAGCCGCGGUAAGACGGGGGAUGCAAGUGUUAUCCGGAAUCACUGGGCGUAAAGCGUUUGUAGGUGGUCUAGUAAGUCUAUUGUUAAAUCUUGAAGCUUAACUUCAAAAGUGUAAUAGAAACUACUAGACUUGAGGAUAG
rnacentral:rRNA from 1 species